GACGAACGCUGGCGGCGUGCUUAACACAUGCAAGUCGAACGAAGUGGCGAACGGGUGAGUAACGCGUAAUCAACCUGCCCUUCAGAGGGGGACACCAGUUGGAAACGACUGCUAAUACCGCAUACUGAAGGAGGGGUUUGCGUCUGAUUAGCUAGUUGGAGGGGUAACGGCCCACCAAGGCGAUGAUUAGUAGCCGGUCUGAGGGGAUGAACGGCCAAAGUGGGACUGAGACACGGCCCAGAAUCCCAAGGGAAGCAGCAGUGGGGAAUCUUCCGCAAUGGACGAAAGUCUGACGGAGGAACGCCGCGGGAGGGAUGGCGGGCUUCGGGGUGUAAAGCUCUGUUAAUCGGGACGCGGUACCGGAAUAGAAAGCCACGGCUAACUACGUGCCAGCAGCCGCGGUAAUAC
rnacentral:rRNA from 1 species